GUUUAACUAAAUAAUCAUGUCUUAUUAUUAUAUUUCAAAUUUUAUAUUUUAGUAAAAAAGCUAAAAUUUAAUUUAAAGACAAGAAGACCCUAUUAAGCUUUAUAAUUCCAAUUUAAUAUCAAUAUAAAUUAAAAAUUAUUUUACUGGGGCAGUAGAUAAAUAAAAUUAUAUUUUAAUAAUGUGAACUUAACUCUUGAAAAAUCAGAAAAUUCUUAAAAAAGAAUAAGUUACUAUAGGGAUAACAGCAUAAUUUUCUUUAAGAGUUCUUAUCAUCAAGAAAGUUUGUGACCUCGAUGUUGGAUUAAGAUGC
rnacentral:rRNA from 1 species